UUGCUGUAGGUUUGGGCAGCUUCUUCCUUCUAUGUACCACUGAUAGCUGUAAAGAGAUCUUCUCUAUAACAGGCCUGGUGGGUGAGUGGACGGGAUUCUUUGGCUUGACAGUUUACCCUGUCAUGAAUUAUACAGAUUUCCAGUGUUUGUCAUUAGAGUUGUCCCGAGAAGGCAUCUCCAUCGUUCUGAGGAAAAAGACCCAGGACCCUGAAAACCCCCAAUAAAAUCUAAGGUUAAGAACCAGGGGCGGAGUGCCAGGAAGACAACUAAAACCAUCUGGACAUUGCUGGAUUUAAUACCGAACAUGGCAUUUACCGGACUUUCCGCAGUUAGAUAUAUAUUUUAUCUGCUGCAUCAAGAGACAGAUUCCAGGCUUGGUCUCUGUUCUCACCACUGGACAUGGCAUUUAC